AGCUUCACACAAGCUAUCGCUGACUGCCAGUGCAUGUUGGAAAUGGGCCACAGGGCUGGGCAUGAUAUGAGCUGCCUGGACAUUGGAGGGGGCUUCCCCAGAAUGAAGGGCUCCAGGCCCAAGUUUGAGGAGUUGAGAACAACAAGCAAUAACAACCAUACGAAGAAUCUAGCAAACUCAGACUUUACUUCUCCUUUUCGUGGUCCUGGAAACAGCUCAGAAUAAAGUGGAUCUGGACCUCUACAGAAGAGAGGGAGCUCCAGAUUCCAGAUAGGAUUUCACUGUGUUGUCCAGGCUGGAGUGCAGUGGCUCAAUCACAGGUCACGGCAGCCUCGACCUCCUGGGGUUCAGGUGAUCCUCCCAUCUCAGCCUCCCGAGUAGCUGGGGCUACAGCACCUGCCAGGAGAACAGGCAGUGGCAGUGUGACCAAGAACCAUGCCUGGUGGAUCCAGACAUGAUCAAAGCCAUCAACCAGGGCAACUAUGGGUGAGAGGCCCUAGAGGCACCCUCAGUGGGCACACAUGCAUACUCAUGCAUGUAUACACGCAUGC
rnacentral:sRNA from 1 species